UGGGGAAUAUUGCACAAUGGGCGCAAGCCUGAUGCAGCCAUGCCGCGUGUAUGAAGAAGGCCUUCGGGUUGUAAAGUACUUUCAGUCGGGAGGAAGGUGGUAAGGUUAAUAACCUUAUCAAUUGACGUUACCGACAGAAGAAGCACCGGCUAACUCCGUGCCAGCAGCCGCGGUAAUACGGAGGGUGCAAGCGUUAAUCGGAAUUACUGGGCGUAAAGCGCACGCAGGCGGUUGAUUGAGUCAGAUGUGAAAUCCCCGGGCUUAACCCGGGAAUUGCAUCUGAUACUGGUCAGCUAGAGUCUUGUAGAGGGGGGUAGAAUUCCAUGUGUGGCGGUGAAAUGCGUAGAGAUGUGGAGGAAUACCGGUGGCGAACGCGGCCCCCUGGACAAAGACUGACGCUCAGGUGCGAAAGCGUGGGGAGCAAACAGG
rnacentral:rRNA from 1 species